rnacentral:tRNA from 1 species
GUAGGUAUAGCAUAGUGGCAGAGUGCAUGCUUAGCAUGCAUGAGGUCCUGGGUUCAAUCCCCAGUACUUCUA